UACGGGAGGCAGCAGUGGGGAAUAUUGCACAAUGGGCGCAAGCCUGAUGCAGCCAUGCCGCGUGUAUGAAGAAGGCCUUCGGGUUGUAAAGUACUUUCAGUCGUGAGGAAGGUGUUAAGGUUAAUAACCUUAGCAAUUGACGUUAGCGACAGAAGAAGCACCGGCUAACUCCGUGCCAGCAGCCGCGGUAAUACGGAGGGUGCGAGCGUUAAUCGGAAUUACUGGGCGUAAAGGGCACGCAGGCGGUUAAUUAAGUUGGAUGUGAAAUCCCCGGGCUUAACCUGGGAAUGGCAUUCAAGACUGGUUAGCUAGAGUCUUGUAGAGGGGGUAGAAUUCCAUGUGUAGCGGUGAAAUGCGUAGAGAUGUGGAGGAAUACCGGUGGCGAAGGCGGCCCCUGGGACAAAGGACUGAUGCUCAUGUGCGAAAGCGUGGGGAGCAAACAGGGAUUAGAUACC
rnacentral:rRNA from 1 species